UAAUAUGAGAGUUUGAUCCUGGCUCAGGAUGAACGCUGGCGGCAUGCCUAAUACAUGCAAGUCGAACG
rnacentral:rRNA from 1 species